rnacentral:rRNA from 1 species
CCAGACUCCUACGGGAGGCAGCAGUGGGGAAUAUUGCACAAUGGGCGGAAGCCUGAUGCAGCAACGCCGCGUGCGGGAUGACGGCCUUCGGGUUGUAAACCGCUUUCGCCUGUGACGAAGCGUGAGUGACGGUAAUGGGUAAAGAAGCACCGGCUAACUACGUGCCAGCAGCCGCGGUGAUACGUAGGGUGCGAGCGUUGUCCGGAUUUAUUGGGCGUAAAGGGCUCGUAGGUGGUUGAUCGCGUCGGAAGUGUAAUCUUGGGGCUUAACCCUGAGCGUGCUUUCGAUACGGGUUGACUUGAGGAAGGUAGGGGAGAAUGGAAUUCCUGGUGGAGCGGUGGAAUGCGCAGAUAUCAGGAGGAACACCAGUGGCGAAGGCGGUUCUCUGGGCCUUUCCUGACGCUGAGGAGCGAAAGCGUGGGGAGCGAACAGGCUUAGAUACCCUGGUAGUCCACGCUGUAAACGGUGGGUACUAGGUGUGGGGUCCAUUCCACGGGUUCCGUGCCGUAGCUAACGCUUUAAGUACCCCGCCUGGGGAGUACGGCCGCAAGGCUAAAACUCAAAGGAAUUGACGGGGGCCCCGCACAAGAGGGC